AACGAACGCUGGCGGCAUGCCUAACACAUGCAAGUCGAACGAAGGCUUCGGCCUUAGUGGCGCACGGGUGCGUAACGCGUGGGAAUCUGCCCUUGGGUUCGGAAUAACUCAGAGAAAUUUGAGCUAAUACCGGAUGAUGACGUAAGUCCAAAGAUUUAUCGCCCAAGGAUGAGCCCGCGUAAGAUUAGCUAGUUGGUGGGGUAAAGGCCUACCAAGGCGACGAUCUUUAGCUGGUCUGAGAGGAUGAUCAGCCACACUGGGACUGAGACACGGCCCAGACUCCUACGGGAGGCAGCAGUGGGGAAUAUUGGACAAUGGGCGAAAGCCUGAUCCAGCAAUGCCGCGUGAGUGAAGAAGGCCUCGG
rnacentral:rRNA from 1 species